GUGUCCUGACCCCAUCCUGGCUGUUCCCCUCACCAGACCUGUGGUGGUGGGGCUUGGGGGUGGACACAGAUCAACUUACCUCUCAUGUUAGGAGGGUUGCCGAAGACAUGUGUGAGCCCUUAAAGGCAAGAGAGGACACU
rfam:Patagioenas fasciata monilis isolate BTP2013 Sc31e1R_52, whole genome shotgun sequence.